rnacentral:rRNA from 1 species
AGAGUUUGAUCCUGGCUCAGAGCGAACGCUGGCGGCACGCCUAACACAUGCAAGUCGAGCGAGAAAGUGACUUCGGUCGCGAGUAAAGCGGCGAACGGGUGAGUACAACGUGGAUAAUCUACCCUAAGGUCUGGGACAACCCCGAGAAAUCGGGGCUAAUACCGGAUAAGACCACAGUAUCCAAGGAUACAGCGGUAAAAGAUUUAUCGCCUUUGGAUGAGUCCACGCCCCAUCAGGUAGUUGGUAAGGUAAAGGCUUACCAAGCCUAAGACGGGUAGCCGGCCUUAGCGGGUGAACGGCCACAUGGGGACUGAGACACGGCCCUGACUCCUACGGGAGGCAGCAGUGGGGAAUAUUGGGCAAUGGGCGAAAGCCUGACCCAGCGAUGCCGCGUGAGGGAUGAAGGCCUUCGGGUUGUAAACCUCUGUCAGGAGGGACGAUGGGACUUUGUCUUGACGGUACCUCCAGAGGAAGCCCCGGCUAACUCCGUGCCAGCAGCCGCGGUAAUACGGAGGGGGCAAGCGUUGCUCGGAAUUACUGGGCGUAAAGGGUCCGCAGGCUGUCAGGCAAGUUGGUUGUGAAAUCCCAAGGCUUAACCUUGGAAUUGC